UACGGAGGAUCCAAGCGUUAUCCGGAUUUGUUGGGUUUAAAGGGUGCGUAGGCGGCCUAUUAAGUCAGGGGUGAAAGACGGUAGCUUAACUAUCGCAGUGCCUUUGAUACUGAUGGGCUUGAAUGUACUUGAGGUAGGCGGAAUGUGACAAGUAGCGGUGAAAUGCAUAGAUAUGUCACAGAACACCAAUUGCGAAGGCAGCUUACUAAAGUAUGAUUGACGCUGAGGCACGAAAGCGUGGGGAUCAAACAGG
rnacentral:rRNA from 1 species